UCUAAUUUUUCUGAAAGAAUUUGCAAUAUUUUUAAGAAACUAUAUAUAUAAGGAACACGUUAAAUAUUUGCGUUUCUCGUCGUCGUAUCAUAUAUAAGCUAAUAAUUUGUUAAAAAGAUAUUUGUGUGACAAAUAUUUCAUAAAGUCGUACAAUUGUUCUCAAUAUCAGUGGAAUUUUGAGUGUACUCUGUGCAAAUCAAUUGCUUGCAUUCGAAGUAUACUGUUUAAGUAUUAUACAUCGAUUAUACAUUAUAUUCUUAAAAUCGAAUCAUGAAACCUUGAUAUUGCUGUUUCGUGAUGGUUUCCCAAUUUGUAAAUUCGCAAUGAUGUAUCUCGCUACCUGGGCUGCCAACUGACGUUAACCACUGUGCCCUGAAAAAAAUUGAAUAUUUAUUUUACAUUGCGUUAGAAAAGCGAUCACUAAACGCUGUUACGCUAAUGAUAUAUAAAGUAUAAUCGAUAAAAACGAUAUCAUUUGAUAUUUUUGAAUAUUUGAACACUGCCAUUUUUUUAUAAAAGAUAUAGUUUUCUGCAGAUAUAGUCGGCUAAAAAUCCACGAACGGUGCUCGAUUUCAAGUUUAAGAAGGUCAUACACUUGUCGUGUUGCCAAUUGCAUCGUUGACAUCGUUACUAAACAACGAACGUUCCCUAACUUUUAUUUCAGGAAGAUCUUUUGGAAGCCUUCAAGACCAGUUCUUCGUGUAAGAUGAUAUAUGUUGAGGCAUCUUUCAACGUCGACGAUACUUUGACGCGGUGACGUAGCGGCGAGGCCGACGAAGGAAACAGGUGAUGCGCUGUCAUUAUUUCAUUAAAUCGUUCAUUAAAGUCGGUUUUCGACAUGCCACUCGUUACACAGCAAUUGUUAGUCAAGGAUAGUCGAGGAACCGCAGAGAUAACAUUUAUAUGUUUCAACUAAUAAUUUUAAAACUUUGUGCGAUAGAGAGAAAGAGAGAGAGAGUUUAUUUACAGAUGCAAUUUUAAAACUCACAUUUGAUCGACGAGCGCUCGAAGUCCUUGCAUCUUCCCGAGGAUCGUUCCAGUUUUACUAUUUUUCACCCAACCGCAAAUUCCCAAUUGCAUACAUAUGUCUCUUACGUACUUCGGAAAAUAUACACCUGUAAAGAUCGUUUUGAAGAUUUUAAGAUUCUCUACGCGGGAUCAAGAGAUGCCAAAUGCUUAUGUAAACAAAUACGUAUGAUCGUGCGUUUAUUACUCUACAUACAUACAUGUAUAUUAAGUCAGAUGCUAAAACGAAGUUGCACUUUAUUAAAGUGCCAAGUGCAUAUUUUUAAUCGAUCGCGAAUAUGCUUAGAGACCAGGAAAAGAGCAAAUAGAUUUACUAAUAUUUAAUAGACUAUAACGAAACAUAAACGAAACAGGAUAAUGUCUAGAAAUUUAACACGCGAUGAGUAAAAAGUAUGAUACGAUUUACUGAUAUAUGAUUAUAGAGAAUCACAUUUAAUGUUUCAUAAUUUGCUUCUCACAAGAGAUAUUAAGUGAAUAGACGAGAAUAUAGAUGAAUAGCGGGAUUCUAUUGAACUAUUUAGCGUAUCAAGUGAAGAAAGCAAUCCUGAUUCGAGUGAACAUUCAAACAAUACUCACCCUGCACUUUUCCAAAAACUUCGAAUUCGACGGAUACCAAUGGUUCCCGGCAAAGGGGAUCAUCCGCCGCCAUCCUGUUGGAGCUCUAGCAGAGUCUUGCGUUCGUCUGCGUCACGUGUGAUGAUUUUGAAUAUUAAACUUGAAUGCACAGUAAAAAUAUGGAAUCCCGAGGACACUCUUGCUCUCUUUCUGUCUAUCUCUUUCUACGAUGUUUCACCUUUCGUCACGACUCACCUCGCUGACUGAUUCUUGUUUGCGUCGUCGUGUCUCCUCAAAUAGAUCACCCCACCACGUUGACAUUGAUUCGAUCACGAUCGAUUGAGAGUCAAUCGACGGUCUAUGAUCCUUUUAAAGGUCCAGUUACAUUAUUCGAGACCAAAGAAUUUGUCCUUAUCUUAAUUUAAUACGUAACUAUAAUAGAUAUGUGUCUUUAAGUAUUUUUAAUAUCGAUGAAAUUGAUAGCGCAUAUACUAUUAUAAGAAACUUGACCUGCAAAAAGUGGCAUAGAUGGGAUGAUAUUGUAAUGAAAGGAAAAAAGAAUGAAUAACCGAUGUUGUGCGACUGAUACACGUCGAAAAACAAUUGCUCCUGCCUCGUCGACGUAUAUGAGGGAGUUGUUCAUUGUGGAAACAUUAAAUGUAGGCCAGGGGAGCAAGCAUUUAUUGUCGAACUAAGCACUUCCCAUCCAUCAUGCCUGCCGUCUAUUGUCCCGUCAUUAUCUCGGCUAAUUAGUUAUUAGUACGCUAUGACGUAGUAAUUGUCCGAAAGCGAGCACAAGAGCAAAAAGUACGGGGUGUACCAUACCACAGGAUACGAGAGAGAGAGGGUUACACGUUUUACUUAUAAUGAUCCUGUUCAAUCUAUUAUAUCGUCGUCGGUCAAGGUUCCGUUCGAUGUUAAGCUCAAUGAUGAAUUUGUUCGGAUAAUAUUUUUUUUCUUUACUAAACCCAAAAUAUAUGUGGGUAGCGAAUUUAUAAAGCAAGAUGACAGCUCUUUGUAUAACGCUUUAUAGUAUUACUCAUUGUAGAAACCUGAUCUCGUGAAGAUCAAAUGAUUGACAAGCUAUUUUUUUCUAAGUAAUGUUAAAUUAUAGUCAAUUUUCAAAUUCAAAUCAUGAUUAACAUUUCAGUCCAUGGAGCAUAGUUAAAUGAUCAUUACAAUUAGGGUUAAAAAAUUGAACGAAUAAAUGUGAAUGACACGUAUGAACAUUAACAUAUUAAUACUCGAUUUAUUUAGUAAGUAUCUCUAUAUAGAUCAAUCUCUUUAUACACAACAUUUUAAAAUAAAUAUAUAAAUAGCCUUUC